rnacentral:RNase_P_RNA from 1 species
AGUUGCGGGCAAACGCCGAAAGGCGCUGUCCGAGGAAAGUCCGAGCUCCACAGAGCAAUAAUAACGGCUAACAGCCGCCGAGGGCGACCUUAGGGAUAGUGCAACAGAAAAAUACCGCCGAAUUUUCGGUAAGGAUGGAAAGGCGAGGUAAGAGCUCACCGGAGUUAAGGAGACUUAACUGCCGUGUAAACCCUAUUUGGAGCAACACCGUGGUAGGACAUUAUACGCUUGCUCGGCGUGUCCUUAGGAGGUGGCAUCGAGCAGAAUGGCAACAUUCUGCCAAGAUAGAUAACUGUUCACGACAGAACUCGGCUUAUAGAUUUGGUCG